rfam:Brassica napus, WGS project CCCW01000000 data, contig: 11743
AUACCUUUCUCGGCCUUUUGGCUAAGAUCAAGUGUAGUAUCUGUUCUUAUCAGUUUAAUAUCUGAUAUGUGGGUCAUUGGCCCACACGAUAUUAACUUUAUUUUUUAAGGGUAGAAGUCUGUCAAGAUAGCUUGCUAUCUGGAUUUACAUGAGUAGCCCAUGCGCUGCACUACUGCAUGGGUGUGGCUCAACCCGC